AGGGAAAAGUGGUAUUUGUUGGGCUGAGUAGCCGUGCUCAAACUGAGGCGAUGGAAGCCCAGUGUAGCACUGACUUUGUUGCAAACCUGCCAUUUGGUCUGUGUAAACAAUCCAAUUGUAGAAAAGCCUAACCCGGAGUUACAUGUAGUACAUCAGUGUCCACAUAUCUGCAUAAAUGAAGAUAUCAACACAAAAACAUCAGUCCAUCUCCUCUCUUCAUAAAGACCCCGUCACCCUCAGCCAGAGGAAAUGCAAUAAACCGGAAGCAAUGCACCCCGCAACCACUUCCAUCUAUUCACAGCAGCCAAACAACUCAACAAUCCUCAUCCAAUCAACCAGCAGCCCUGCGGAACAGUUGCCAUAGUUACGACUUCAACAAUUGCAGGUUAUAUUUUCUUAGUGAUAAUAGUGAUAGCCCUUGCUGUGCUUUGCUGGAUCCUCAUUUCUCUCAGAAGAAAAUCCAGGUGGUAUUCCUUUGACUUCAAGUACCCUGCACUCCUGACGGACCCUCCUGAGACCUUUGAGACCGUCAACAUGGACGGACUGAAUACUGUUGACCUUUCACCUUUGCCAGCAUCCAAUGGGGAGCGUCUCCUGGACCAGGAGGUGCUCCUGCCCUCUAGCGGCUUCCUCCCAUUGGACACUGAGCAGACUGACAGGAAGUGGGACCAAUCAGACAGAGUGUCACUUCAUAUAACAGAGGAAGAGCCGGAGAACAGCACUGCACUGUCCUGUGGUUCUACUGCAGCCUAGUACUGUUACCCCGUCUCCUCCCCUCCUCUUCUCCAGGACUCCUUUCUCCUCCUUCUCUCCUCUCAUCCUCCAGUAACCCGUCUCCUCUUCUCCAGGACUCCUUUCUCCUCCUUCUCUCCUCUCCUCCAGUACCCCGCCUCUUCUCCUCCUCCUUCUCAGGCUCAGACAGAAGAUAGUGGUGGAGAAACGAGACUUAAACAAACUUAAACAAAAAUACUUCAAACUGUCAAAUAUGAAAUAAAGUGUGUCAACGAUUAUUUCCCUUU